rnacentral:rRNA from 1 species
UGCCAGCCGCCGCGGUAACACGGGGGGCGCAAGCGUUAUUCGGAAUUAUUGGGCGUAAAGGGCGCGUAGGCGGUUUGGAAAGCGGCGUGUGAAAUCCCGGAGCUCAACUCCGGAACUGCAUGCCGAACUUCCGAACUAGAGGACAGGAGGGGAGUGUGGAACUCUAGGUGGAGCGGUGAAAUGCGUAGAUAUCUAGAGGAACGCCGGUGGCGAAAGCGACACUCUGGCCUGCCCCUGACGCUGAGGCGCGAAAGCGUGGGUAGCAAACAGGAUUAGAUA